CUCCAAAGUUCCACUACCUCCCAAAAGCAUGGCAACAGGGACAAACAGGGCCCAGGCUCUGUAAGUCCUGUCAGUUCUUAAAAAGCCAAGGAAACAGAGAUGCCACUGUGGAUGUGCAGUGUACAGCCCUCCAGCUCUGCCAUCGGGGGACGUCCUUGCCAGCCGCUCAGCAGUCUCAGAUAAGCAGUUCACUUCCAGGGCGGUGCUGCUGAGCUCUGGGGGCCCGGGCUCCCAGCUCACACUCUGCAAUUAGCUCUUCCACACGGGCAGCUUCAGCCUGCGCCUCACGUGUACUUUUUAACCUUUCUUUCUUAGUCUCCACAAUCAUUUCAAAGCUUAAACCCCUGUCCACCUUUCAUCCUGUAGUGCAGAGAAGAUACAGACCGCCAGGUGCGCCUCAGGUUCUCGUCCACUUUUUAACCUGUAACCCACCCUUUCCUCCCCCUGGGUCAGAUUGAAAUCUAUGUUUUACCUAUUAAGGUCCAUGCUGUUUCUCAAAAAACAAAACAAAAACACACUUUUACCCCUGGCAUUAUAGGUAAUUAU
rnacentral:lncRNA from 1 species